AACACAUGCAAGUCGAACGAACCUUCGGGUUAGUGGCGGACGGGUGAGUAACGCGUGAGAAUCUGCCCUCAGGAGGGGGAUAACGGCUGGAAACGGCCGCUAAUACCCCAUAUGCCGAAAGGUGAAACGAAAUUCGCCUGAGGAUGAGCUCGCGUCUGAUUAGCUAGUUGGUGGGGUAAAGGCCUACCAAGGCGUCGAUCAGUAGCUGGUCUGAGAGGAUGAUCAGCCACACUGGGACUGAGACACGGCCCAGACUCCUACGGGAGGCAGCAGUGGGGAAGUUUUCCGCAAUGGGCGAAAGCCUGACGGAGCAACGCCGCGUGAGGGAAGAAGGCCUCUGGGCUGUAAACCUCUUUUCUCAAGGAAGAAGAUCUGACGGUACUUGAGGAAUAAGCCACGGCUAAUUCCGUG
rnacentral:rRNA from 1 species